rnacentral:rRNA from 1 species
CACGUAGGGCGCAAGCGUUGUCCGGAAUUAUUGGGCGUAAAGAGCUCGUAGGCGGUCUGUUACGUCUGCUGUGAAAACCCGGGGCUUAACCCUGGGCUUGCAGUGGAUACGGGCAGACUAGAGGCAGGUAGGGGAGAAUGGAAUUCCUGGUGUAGCGGUGAAAUGCGCAGAUAUCAGGAAGAACACCCGUGGCGAAGGCGGUUCUCUGGGACGGUACUGACGCUGAGACGCGAAAGCUAGGGGAGCAAACAGG